AUACAUGCAGUCGAGCGGACGGAUGGGAGCUUGCUCCCUGAAGUCAGCGGCGGACGGGUGAGUAACACGUGGGCAACCUGCCUGUAAGACUGGGAUAACUUCGGGAAACCGGAGCUAAUACCGGAUAAUGCACAGCCUCUCAUGAGGCUAUGCUGAAAGAUGGUUUCGGCUAUCACUUACAGAUGGGCCCGCGGCGCAUUAGCUAGUUGGUGAGGUAACGGCUCACCAAGGCAACGAUGCGUAGCCGACCUGAGAGGGUGAUCGGCCACACUGGGACUGAGACACGGCCCAGACUCCUACGGGAGGCAGCAGUAGGGAAUCUUCCGCAAUGGACGAAAGUCUGACGGAGCAACGCCGCGUGAGUGAUGAAGGUUUUCGGAUCGUAAAACUCUGUUGUCAGGGAAGAACAAGUGCCGGAGUAACUGCCGGCACCUUGACGGUACCUGACCAGAAAGCCACGGCUAACUACGUGCCAGCAGCCGCGGUAAUACGUAGGUGGCAAGCGUUGUCCGGAAUUAUUGGGCGUAAAGCGCGCGCAGGCGGUCUCUUAAGUCUGAUGUGAAAGCCCACGGCUCAACCGUGGAGGGUCAUUGGAAACUGGGGGACUUGAGUGCAGAAGAGGAAAGU
rnacentral:rRNA from 1 species